UACGAAGGGGGCUAGCGUUGUUCGGAAUUACUGGGCGUAAAGCGCGCGUAGGCGGCUCGUUAAGUGUGGAGUGAAAUGCCGGGGCUCAACCCCGGAACUGCUUUACAUACUGGCGAGCUUGAGGGAUGCAGAGGUUUGUGGAAUUCCUGGUGUAACGGUGAAAUGUGUUGAUAUCAGGAGGAACACCCAUGGCGAAGGCAGCAAACUGGGCAUCAUCUGACGCUGAGGCGCGAAAGCGUGGGUAGCAAACAGG
rnacentral:rRNA from 1 species